rnacentral:rRNA from 1 species
GAGUGACUGCCGGUGACAAACCGGAGGAAGGUGGGGAUGACGUCAAAUCAUCAUGCCCCUUAUGACCUGGGCUACACACGUACUACAAUGGCCGGUACAACGGGAAGCGAAGCCGCGAGGUGGAGCCAAUCCCAGCAAAGCCGGUCUCAGUUCGGAUUGCAGGCUGCAACUCGCCUGCAUGAAGUCGGAAUUGCUAGUAAUCGCGGAUCAGCAUGCCGCGGUGAAUACGUUCCCGGGUCUUGU